UUUUCAAGCAGGCUACUAAAGAGCAAGCCGUCCUGUCCGGGUCACCCAGGCUACAGGAACUUGCAAGCCCAAAUCAGAGCUCUCAGCAGCCCCUCCCUGCUUGUCUGAAGUAGAGCAGGGAGUGAAGAUUUGUGCUUAUGUCUAGAAAAUGGAAUGAAAUAGUGAAGUAAUGAAGAUGCUAACCACUGGAAGUGGAGGUUGGAGAGUUCUUGUCUUUAUCAUCAAAAAGAGCUCAGAGACAAGUGCAAUCAAUGGCUUAUGCAACAGCCACCCCCCAAGUUUGUGGCCCUUUGGUACUGCAACCACUGGAAAAGGACACAGUAGUGUUGUGGAGGCAACAGCCCAACUAGUUCAAGAGAAGAGUCACUUCAUGGGAUGCAGACAGGUCUUCAAAACGUUUCCGCUGCUGAGGAAAGAAGACAGGUGUUCCAAGACCUUUGUUUUCAUCAGCGCUGCAAGCAUCUCACUCCUCAAAGCCAGACAGCGUCCACCCUUUUGACCUCACCCUUGCUCUAUAUUUUGUAUUGCCAGCAAGGCUGCCUGCCAACAAAUGAAUUAUCAGGUUCCACAUCCUAACCUUCUCUGCUCUAAUCUGCCACUCCUUUCCUGGUUUGUACCAGGAGGCAUUCCUCAUAAGACAUUUAUCUGCCUGGAAGGCAGGGAGGAAGCCGGCCCUGGCUCUGUAUUAUUAAUGUGGGGUUUUCAUCUUUAUGCAUAGGAUACGUUGUCUGGGACAAGUCAACUGCUGGAUCUUCCAGGGGAUUACGAAGGAAACAUUCCCAUACGUAUGUUCCAAAUAAAAAAAUCUAUCUGCUGAAUGAGGGGUUGCUAAGGGGAAAUUCGCCCAACAGCUGCCUUUUUAUUAUGAUGAGAAGGGAAGUGGCCAGGCUGAUAGUCCACACAGCCCCAGAGACAGAGCUGGCACAAAGGCUCCCUUGUGUUCACCAUCAUAGCUCAGUGGAGAGGCUCUGUCCUUUCCUGCCACCCCUCAAACUUCACCCGGCUUUACGCUAGUGCUAAAGUCACGUGCUCCAUGUCUAUUCCUCUAUCCCAUUCAAAAUUACAGUACAGAAAAGGCAGAAAGAAUGUGUUGUCUAUCUUUCUGCACUUCCUUGCCUUUCAGAACUUGGGUAAUUAGGAUGGGAUUUCUAUUCUCCCUAAUUUGCUAGGAACUAGGUUUCUGUGGGGAGGCUGGGCAUCUGGGCCAGGGAGAUGGUGACCACUUAAAGAUCAGUGGGGGUGGCACUGUCAUUCAUGAAUGUAUAAAAGCCACAUAGUUUCCACAUGGUUUCCAGUCACUUUCAGCCAAAUAUUUGUCUUAUUAAUAUUAAGUGAAAGUGCUUUUGGCUGUUAAGAAAACAUUACUAUAAAAUGUGUAAAAUAAUGAUCACACCCUCACUACAGUUUAUAACAUCUCCUGUAUGGAAAACAGAUGUUUUUAUACUCGCUCUUUAUCAUAUGGGAGUAUGAUAGGUAAUGAGAACAUCAAUCCACAUGAAAUAAUAACAAUAAAUUUACUGCAUCUUCCUAACAUUAGUAUCAUCUCAGAUUGCAUCAUGCCACUUUUCUCUGUGAGGUUAAUUUGGGCUUCUUUUAAACUUUGCGGUAUUCAUCUCAGAUACCAGUUCAAUAGUCUGAUUACCAAGGCCUGAUGGAGUAAAUCUGUCUUACUUUGUCAGUUGGCAAGGGCAGGAGGAUCCGGUAGCGGAUGCUGAUUCUCAAGCGUCAUUCAGCUUCCUGGUAGAAAGGUCUGUGGCUGAAGCCCUCGCCUGAGCUGAGUAUGAACGCAUUUGGUAGUUCUGCAAAUGUCUGCAUAUACCGAGAAUGCAAGCUCUGGAGGGCAUGAGGGCAAGUACAUAGAGCGAUGCACAUCUUCCUUAAGACAGGGAUUUGUGGGACCUAGAAAAUGGUCUGUAUCUGCACGUGUAAUUUCUCAAGGUUGGCAAAAUGUGUAGAUCAUAAGAGAUGGUUCCGAUACAGCAUUUUCUCUACCAGAAAUGUCUAUUAACCAGAAGAUCUGCACAUUUAUGGUACAAAUAGUAAUGAUACUCUUAAUUAUGACUCCUAGGCAACAUAAAAUCCUGGCCAGCCUUUGUGUUCAUCAAAGUCAGAUUAUUAAAUUAUGGUC